GCUGGGUGCCAUGGCACACACCUGUAAUCCCAGCAACUCAGGAGGCUGAGGCAAGAAGAUCACAAGUUCAAGGCCAGCCUGAGCAACUUAGUGAGUCCCUAUCUCAA
rnacentral:sRNA from 1 species